CCUACGGGAGGCAGCAGUCGAGAAUCAUUCACAAUGGGGGAAACCCUGAUGGUGCGACGCCGCGUGGGGGAAUGAAGGUCUUCGGAUUGUAAACCCCUGUCAUGUGGGAGCAAAUUAAAAAGAUAGUACCACAAGAGGAAGAGACGGCUAACUCUGUGCCAGCAGCCGCGGUACUACAGAGGUCUCAAGCGUUGUUCGGAAUCACUGGGCGUAAAGCGUGCGUAGGCUGUUUCGUAAGUCGGGUGUGAAAGGCGCGGGCUCAACCCGCGGACGGCACAUGAUACUGCGAGACUAGAGUAAUGGAGGGGGAACCGGAAUUCUCGGUGUAGCAGUGAAAUGCGUAGAUAUCGAGAGGAACACUCGUGGCGAAGGCGGGUUCCUGGACAUUAACUGACGCUGAGGCACGAAGGCCAGGGGAGCGAAAGGGAUUAGAUACCCUUGUAGUC
rnacentral:rRNA from 1 species